GAUGAACGCUGGCGGCGUGCUUAACACAUGCAAGUCGAACGAAGCAUUUAAGACAGAUUACUUCGGUUUGAAGUUUUUUAUGACUGAGUGGCGGACGGGUGAGUAACGCGUGGGUAACCUGCCUCAUACAGGGGGAUAGCAGCUGGAACCGGCUGGUAAUACCGCAUAAGCGCACAGUACCACAUGGUACAGUGUGAAAAACUCCGGUGGUAUGAGAUGUACCCGCGUCUGAUGAGCUGGUUGGCGGGGUAACGGCCCACCAAGGCGACGAUCAGUAGCCGACCUGAGAGGGUGACCGGCCACAUUGGGACUGAGACACGGCCCAGACUCCUACGGGAGGCAGCAGUGGGGAAUAUUGCACAAUGGAGGAAACUCUGAUGCAGCGACGCCGCGUGAGUGAAGAAGUAGUUCGCUAUGUAAAGCUCUAUCAGCAGGGAAGAUAGUGACGGUACCUGACUAAGAAGCUCCGGCUAAAUACGUGCCAGCCGCCGCAGUAA
rnacentral:rRNA from 1 species